GGAGGGAUGCGUGAAUGGUUAAACGAGCGGCUUGCUAAGCCGUGACGGCCUUUAAAGCCGUCUGUGGGUUCGACUCCCACUCCCUCCG
rnacentral:tRNA from 2 species